CGCGUAGCCUAGCCCGGAUAAGGCGCUUGCCUUCGGAGCAAGAGAUCUCAGGUUCGAAUCCUGGCGCGCCCGCCA
rnacentral:tRNA from 1 species